rnacentral:rRNA from 1 species
GAUGAACGCUAGCGGCAGGCUUAAUACAUGCAAGUCGAGGGGUAGCAAGAUUGUAGCAAUGCAAUUGUUGACGACAGGCAAACGGGUGCGGAACACGUACACAACCUUACUUCAAGUGGGGAAUAGACCAGAGAAACUUGGAUUAAUACCCAGUAACAUAGCGAGGUGGCAUCACAUUGCUCUUAUAGCUUCGGCGCUUGUUGCUGGGUGUGCGGCUGAUUAGAUAGUUGGCGGGGUAACGGCCCACCAAGUCUACGAUCAGUAGCUGAUGUGAGAGCAUGAUCAGCCACACGGGCACUGAGACACGGGCCCGACUCCUACGGGAGGCAGCAGUAAGGAAUAUUGGACAAUGGACGCAAGUCUGAUCCAGCCAUGCCGCGUGAAGGAUUAAGGUCCUCUGAUUGUAAACUUCUUUUAUAAGGGACGAAAAAAGGUCUUUCUAGAUCGUCUGACGGUACCUUAUGAAUAAGCACCGGCUAACUCCGUGCCAGCCGCCGCAGUAAUAC